UACGGAGGGUGCGAGCGUUAUUCGGAAUUACUGGGCGUAAAGGGCGAGUAGGCGGCGGGAUAAGUCUGAUGUGAAAGCCCCGGGCUUAACCUGGGAAGUGCAUUGGAGACUGUUUCGCUUGAGUACCGGAGAGGAAGGGGGAAUUCCCGGUGUAGAGGUGAAAUUCGUAGAGAUCGGGAGGAAUACCAGUGGCGAAGGCGCCCUUCUGGACGGUUACUGACGCUGAGACGCGAAAGCGUGGGGAGCAAACAGGAUUAGAUACCCUGGUAGUCCACGCUGUAAACGAUGAGCACUAGGUGUAGCGGGUACUCAUUCCUGCUGUGCCGUAGCUAACGCGUUAAGUGCUCCGCCUGGGGAUUACGGUCGCAAGACUAAA
rnacentral:rRNA from 1 species